UCUGGGACAAGCCCUGGAAACGGGGUCUAAUACCGGAUAACACUCUGUCCCGCAUGGGACGGGGUUAAAAGCUCCGGCGGUGAAGGAUGAGCCCGCGGCCUAUCAGCUUGUUGGUGGGGUAAUGGCCUACCAAGGCGACGACGGGUAGCCGGCCUGAGAGGGCGACCGGCCACACUGGGACUGAGACACGGCCCAGACUCCUACGGGAGGCAGCAGUGGGGAAUAUUGCACAAUGGGCGAAAGCCUGAUGCAGCGACGCCGCGUGAGGGAUGACGGCCUUCGGGUUGUAAACCUCUUUCAGCAGGGAAGAAGCGAAAGUGACGGUACCUGCAGAAGAAGCGCCGGCUAACUACGUGCCAGCAGCCGCGGUAAUACGUAGGGCGCAAGCGUUGUCCGGAAUUAUUGGGCGUAAAGAGCUCGUAGGCGGCUUGUCACGUCGGAUGUGAAAGCCCGGGGCUUAACCCCGGGUCUGCAUUCGAUACGGGCUAGCUAGAGUGUGGUAGGGGAGAUCGGAAUUCCUGGUGUAGCGGGUGAAAUGCGCAGAUAUUCAGGAGGAACACCGGUGGCGAAGGCGGAUCUCUGGGCCAUUACUGACGCUGAGGAGCGAAAGCGUGGGGAGCGAACAGGAUUAGAUACCCUGGUAGUCCACGCCGUAACGUUGGGAACUAGGUGUUGGCGACAUUCCACGUCGUCGUGCCGCAGCUAACGCAUUAAGUUCCCCGCCUGG
rnacentral:rRNA from 1 species